UACGUAGGUGGCAAGCGUUGUCCGGAUUUACUGGGCGUAAAGGGAGUGUAGGCGGAUACUUAAGUCAGAUGUGAAAUACCCGGGCUCAACUUGGGUGCUGCAUUUGAAACUGGGUGUCUAGAGUGCAGGAGAGGAAAGUGGAAUUCCUAGUGUAGCGGUGAAAUGCGUAGAGAUUAGGAAGAACACCAGUGGCGAAGGCGACUUUCUGGACUGUAACUGACGCUGAGGCUCGAAAGCGUGGGGAGCAAACAGGAUUAGAUACCCUGGUAGUCCACGCCGUAAACGAUGGGUACUAGGUGUGGGAGGUAUCAACUCCUUCCGUGCCGCCGUAAACACAAUAAGUACCCCGCCUGGGGAGUACGGUCGCAAGAUUAAA
rnacentral:rRNA from 1 species